GACGAACGCUGGCGGCGUGCUUAACACAUGCAAGUCGUACGGUAAGGCCCUGUCGGGGGUACGCGAGUGGCGCACGGGGGAGUAACACGUGAGUAACCUGCCCACGACUUGGGGAUAGCGGUAGGAAACUGGGGCUAAUACUGGAUAUGUGCUCCUGCUGCAUGGUGGGGGUUGGAAAGCUCCGGCGGUUGUGGAUGGACUCGCGGCCUAUCAGCUAGUUGGUGGGGUAGUGGCCUACCAAGGCGGCGACGGGUAGCCGGCCUGAGAGGGUGACCGGCCACAUUGGGACUGAGAUACGGCCCAGUCGCCUACGGGAGGCAGCAGUGGGGAAUAUUGCACCAUGGGCGCCAGCCUGAUGCAGCAACGCCGCGUGCGGGAUGACGGCCUUCGGGUUGUAAACCGCUUUCAGCAGGGACGAAGCUUUUUGUGACGGUACCUGCAGAAGAAGCACCGGCUAACUACGUG
rnacentral:rRNA from 1 species